UGGCGGUGGCUUCAUCUUGCUUGCCGGCGGUGUGUGCAUCGCCGCGGAGCAUGGCUUCGCUCCGCUUCGCCCUCCCUUCGGUCCCCUUGCCUCGCGUCCGUUGCUUCGUCGUCACGGAUCCGGUCCGGCCUCGGAGAAGCCAAGUGCCUGCGGGAUUUUCUUCGGGCUUGCUCCUGUGACUCCUCUUCUCCCUAUCGGCUCCGGGAGCUGAAUGGUCUGUAUCGGGACUGACUUGGAGGUUGUUGCUACUUGCCAAUGGACCACAAAAUGCCAGUCUCAGAGGCAAAGAGCUGACCUUUAUCACUGCUAGGUGAAUCAGCAAGCACUCUGCAUUGACCUGCCAGUAUUGGGUGUUUCUGUAGACUUUGGGCACACUUUCCAUUGAUUUUGCAGGGCGGUCCAUACAUGGAUGUAUUUUUAUGGUAUGCAUAUCAUUUCUACCAGCAUGGAGUGGGCAAAGCUAGCCCAAACUUGUGGAUUUAAAUGAUCUGGACACCACGUAUGGGAGCUUAUAGAUCACAGUUCAAAGUCACUUUUUUCAUUCGACUCAAGUUUGUAGGGUCCAUGACAACCUUCUGGCAUGUGGCUUUUUAUCCUUGUAUUAUUUUAAGAUAUACUAAGAUUCAUGGAGCAAUAUGUUGUCCUCGAUCAAGUUAAUAUAGGAAAGUGGAAUUUUCAGUAUGAACAUGGUGAAAAAAUUAGUGCA